ACAUUCACUACACCUUUUCCAUUUGCUAAUAAGGCCCUGCCAGGCUGGGAGGGAAUUGUCCCUGCCUGCUUCUGGAGAGAGAAGAUAUUGACACCAUCUACGGGCACCAUGGAACUGCUUCAAGUGACCAUUCUUUUUCUUCUGCCCAGUAUUUGCAGCAGUAACAGCACAGGUGUUUUAGAGGCAGCUAAUAAUUCACUUGUUGUUACUACAAUAAAAACAUCUAUAACAACACCAAACACAGAAUCAUUACAGAAAAAUGUUAUCACGCCAACAACUGGAACAACUCCUAAAGGAAAAAUCACCAACGAAUUACUUAAAAUGUCUCUGAUGUCAGCAGUUACUUUAACAAGUAAAGAUGAAGGUUAUAUUUUAAUUUUGUUGAUAGUAUCUUUUGAAGCCUGAAGAUUCAGAAAGCUGCAGUGGACCCAACCACCAAACAGUGACCAUGACCUUUAUUUGUUGCAAGUUUGGCUUUGGGAAGUGCUUUGGAGCUUUUUCUCAGUCCAAUCACUGAACUAGUUGUUGCCAGUUGUCACUUUUUGUCGCACAUCACAAUCAGAUCAAGAAAUGGUUUGUGGUGUAGAAU
rnacentral:sRNA from 1 species